AUGACAUCCACUCACGAAAGAAUCUCUUUUGGCUGAUGGGAAAUAUCCUCCAAAUGAUUAGACUUCGCUGCUCAUAUUUUUCAUCCUUUCAGCUCAGAGAUGACCAUUGAUUCUACUCAAGGUCGUUUGCUCAUUAAAGAUAAAGAAAACGCUUGUCUCUCCCCAUGGGCACAGUGUUCCUGUUUGUUAAUGGCCUUGAUUUAUGAUGCCAUAUGAAUGGUAGCAGUGAAAUAAAUGCUUUCAGCAACAUUCAUGGAACCUAAAACAGAACCAAUUCAAAGGAUCUCAUCCUGGAGAGAAAAUUCUUGACUUUCACUGUGGUCCAACUUCUCAUAUUGGCUACCAAGAAUAUUAUAUUAAAAACUGAAUAAAACUCAAUUAGGAAAGCUGAAUUUAAUUAACUCUUUGCAACUGCCUCUCCUAUAGCAAUAGCAAAAGCACUUAAAUUUAUAUACCGCUUCAUAGUGCUUUACAGCCCUCUCUAAGCGGUUUACAGAGUCAGCAUGUUGCCCCCAACAAUCUGGGCCCUCAUUUUACUUACCUCGGAAGGAUGGAAGGCUGAGUCAACCUUGGAGUCAACUAUAGAAUCGGGUUAUGUGAUCUUAGGACAUCGACCAGCUCAAUUCAGAAGAGAAAAUACAUCAAUUCUUCUUGAGUCCCCCUAAUGCAAAGAGAGAAGGAAUGGACCUACCAAAAUGAAGGGCAGGGUUGAAUAGUCAGAGUUGAAGAAGCUUCCGGGAGGAGAAGCGAAAUAUCUUCAAAGAAAAACAAGAAAGUCCUGUUGCCUCUUGAAAAAGCGGAUAAACAUGACCUGGAUGACUGAGAAUCUCCAUAGACAAAUCCAUUUUGUGCUAGAUCAUUAUGACUAGGGAUUCUAAUAAUGGCCAGGACUUCUCCAUUAUUCCCCAAAGAAAAAAUAUACUUUUUAAGAUGCUUAAGAUGUCUGAAAUUGUCUUAAGUGUUUUUAUUGAAUGUAAAUUUAUAUUCAAAUACUGAGACUCUUAAAGACAGCCAAUUU